ACGGGAGGCAGCAGUGGGGAAUUUUGGACAAUGGGCGAAAGCCUGAUCCAGCAAUGCCGCGUGAGUGAAGAAGGCCUUCGGGUUGUAAAGCUCUUUUGUCAGGGAAGAAACGGUGAGGGCUAAUAUCCCUUGCUAAUGACGGUACCUGAAGAAUAAGCACCGGCUAACUACGUGCCAGCAGCCGCGGUAAUACGUAGGGUGCAAGCGUUAAUCGGAAUUACUGGGCGUAAAGCGUGCGCAGGCGGUUUUGUAAGU
rnacentral:rRNA from 1 species